AGAGGAUGAACGGCCACAUUGGAACUGAGAAACGGUCCAAACUCCUACGGGAGGCAGCAGUGGGGAAUAUUGGGCAAUGGAGGCAACUCUGACCCAGCAACGCCGCGUGAAUGAAGAAGGUCUUCGGAUUGUAAAGUUCUUUAGCGAGGGACGAAAAGAAUGACGGUACCUCGAGAAUAAGCCACGACUAACUACGUGCCAGCAGUCGCGGUAAUACGUAGGUGGCGAGCGUUGUCCGGAAUG
rnacentral:rRNA from 1 species